rnacentral:rRNA from 1 species
AGAGUUUGAUCAUGGCUCAGAAUCAACGCUGGCGGCGUGCCUAACACAUGCAAGUCGAGCGGUAACAGGUGUAGCAAUACAUGCUGACGAGCGGCGAACGGGUGAGUAAUGCUUUGGAAUCUUCCCAGUAGUGGGGAAUAACCAGUCGAAAGAUUGGCUAAUACCGCAUACGUCUGUAAAGGGAAAGCGGGGGCUCGUAAGACCUCGCGCUAUUGGAUGAGCCAAAGUCGGAUUAGCUAGUUGGUGGGGUAAUGGCCUACCAAGGCGACAAUCCGUAGCUGGUCUGAGAGGACGACCAGCCACACCGGAACUGAGACACGGUCCGGACUCCUACGGGAGGCAGCAGUGGGGAAUAUUGGACAAUGGGGGAAACCCUGAUCCAGCGACGCCGCGUGUGUGAAGAAGGCCUGCGGGUUGUAAAGCACUUUUAGUGGGGACAAAAAGCUACGGAUUAAUACUCUGUGGUCUUGAUUUAACCCAAAGAAAAAGCACCGGCUAACUCUGUGCCAGCAGCCGCGGUAAUACAGAGGGUGCGAGCGUUAAUCGGAAUUACUGGGCGUAAAGCGCGCGUAGACGGUUUUGUAAGUCAGAUGUGAAAUCCCUGGGCUCAACCUGGGAACUGCAUUUGAGACUGCAUGGCUAGAGUAUGGAAGAGGGAAGUGGAAUUUCCGGUGUAGCGGUGAAAUGCGUAGAUAUCGGAAGGAACACCAGUGGCGAAAGCGACUUCCUGGUCCAAUACUGACGUUCAUGUGCGAAAGCGUGGGGAGCAAACAGGAUUAGAUACCCUAGUAGUCC